rnacentral:rRNA from 1 species
GACGAACGCUGGCGGCGUGCUUAACACAUGCAAGUCGAACGGUAAGGCCCUUCGGGUACGACGAGUGGCGAACGGGUGAGUAACACGUGGUGAUCUGCCCUGCACUUCGGGAUAAGCCUGGGAAACUGGGUCUAAUACCGGAUAGGACCAUGGACUUCACGGUUUGUGGUGGAAAGCUUUUGCGGUGUGGGAUGGGCCCGCGGCCUAUCAGCUUGUUGGUGGGGUAAUGGCCUACCAAGGCGACGACGGGUAGCCGGCCUGAGAGGGUGUCCGGCCACACUGGGACUGAGAUACGGCCCAGACUCCUACGGGAGGCAGCAGUGGGGAAUAUUGCACAAUGGGCGCAAGCCUGAUGCAGCGACGCCGCGUGAGGGAUGACGG